GACGCGGGGCCGGCGGAGGGCCCGGGGCGCGCCCUUGAGCGGCGGCUGAGCGUGCUUCGGGCGCAGAGAAGGAGGCUCCGGGGGAACUUCUCGCUCCACAACUCCCUGACAGGAGGCUGUAGCCGGGUGGGACUCGGCCUCUUCUCCCAGGCAAACAGCGGCAGGAUGAGAGGAUAUGGCCUCGAGCUGCGCCAGAGGAGGUGUAGGUUGGGCAUUAGGAAGAAUUUCUUCACAGAAAGCGUGGUUUGACAUUGGAAUGGGCUGCCCAGGGAGGUGGUGGAGUCACCGCCCCUGGAGGUGUCUGAGGGAAGACCGGACGUGGCACUCACUCAGUGCCGGGGUCUGACUGACACCGCGGUGUUGGGUCACGGGUUGGACUCGAUGACCUCAGAGGUCUUUUCCAACCUGAUUGAUUCUGUGAUUCUGUUAAGUAUAUCUGAUUUUGGAGUGUACCAUGAGUUAAAGCAUCUCCACCCGUGGCUUUCCAUCCCGGGUUCACGGCCACAUUCAGUGCUGGGGAGGUGCCGUGCUGGUGCAGCGCCCCUGGCAAGCACACAGGUGCCAGGGGCCAAGCGUCGCUCCUGAGCUAGGCUGUGAUUUCCCUCUUUGUCAAAUAUUUUCCCUAAUUUUGUCUGCAGACACUUCCCAGCAGUGCUUUGGCUUCCCUCUGCACUGUGGUGACACCCAGUUAUGGUAGAAACCCCCUGCAUGCCAUAAAUACCCCCAGCACCCUCCAGGUAAAUCACCACCCUGGUUUUUACCUUCUCAUUUUUCUAAAAUCAGCUCUAUAUGGCCUUUCAAUAUAUGCUUGUAUGUAAAAUCAUAUGUAAUACAUCACUGAAUCCUUAUAUCCACAGAGAGUCAAACUGCAGACCACACCAGUGCCCUGUUACCAUGAGGAGAGAGGUGUGGGAAUUGGCAGGGUGCUGCUGAAUUCCAGUUUCAAGGGGUAGAUGGGUGCAGCCUUGCCUGAGAUGGGCAGGGUGGUCUUCAUCUCUGCUGGCUGAAGCUCCCUAGUCCUCCCUGCCCUUGCCGUGCUCACACAGCCAUUGUUCAACUCCACCUGCUUCAAUGCUGGAACAAAAUAAAAUUAAAUUCUUAAAUUAA